UUGGUAAGGUAACGGCUUACCAAGGCAACGAUGCAUAGCCGACCUGAGAGGGUGAUCGGCCACACUGGAACUGAGACACGGUCCAGACUCCUACGGGAGGCAGCAGUAGGGAAUCUUCCGCAAUGGGCGAAAGCCUGACGGAGCAACGCCGCGUGAGUGAUGAAGGUCUUCGGAUCGUAAAACUCUGUUAUUAGGGAAGAACAUAUGUGUAAGUAACUGUGCACAUCUUGACGGUACCUAAUCAGAAAGCCACGGCUAACUACGUGCCAGCAGCCGCGGUAAUACGUAGGUGGCAAGCGUUAUCCGGAAUUAUUGGGCGUAAAGCGCGCGUAGGCGGUUU
rnacentral:rRNA from 1 species